GGGGCGGUAGCUCAGCCGGGAGAGCGUCGCGUUCGCAAUGCGAAGGUCGGGAGUUCGAUCCUCCUCCGCUCCACCA
rnacentral:tRNA from 1 species